GGAUGGUUCCCAUAAUGGUAUUGGAGCGGUUUGCUAAACCGUCAGGGCUACCGCCCUUUGCAGGUUCGAAUCCUGCACCAUCCG
rnacentral:tRNA from 1 species